GGACAACCUACCCUAUGGAGGGGGAUAACCCCGGGAAACUGGGGAUAAUACCCCAUAGGCUAUGGAUGCUGGAAUGCUCUGUAGUCGAAAGGUCCGCCGCCAUAGGAUGGGUCUGCGGCCGAUUAGGUUGUUGUUGGGGUAACGGCCCAACAAGCCUGUAAUCGGUACGGGUUGUGGGAGCAAGAGCCCGGAGAUGGAUUCUGAGACACGAAUCCAGGCCCUACGGGGCGCAGCAGGCGCGAAAACUUUACAAUGCGGGAAACCGUGAUAGGGGAACUCUGAGUGCCCGUAAAAUCGGGCUGUCCAUCUGUUUAAAUAACAGGUGAAGAAAGGGCCGGGCAAGACCGGUGCCAGCCGCCGCGGUAAUACCGGCGGCUCGAGUGGUGGCCACUAUUACUGGGCUUAAAGCGUUCGUAGCUGGUUUGUUAAGUCUCUGGGGAAAUCCUCCGGCUCAACCGGAAGGCGUCUCAGGGAUACUGGCAGACUAGGGACCGGGGGAGGUGAGAGGUACUCCAGGGGUAGGAGUGAAAUCCUGUAAUCCUUGGGGGACCACCUGUGGCGAAGGCGUCUCACCAGAACGGCUCCGACAGUGAGGGACGAAAGCUGGGGGAGCAAACCGGAUUAGAUACCCGGGUAGUCCCAGCUGUAAACGAUGCACGUUAGGUGUAUCGGUGACCACGAGUCACCGAGGUGCCGAAGAGAAAUCGUGAAACGUGCCGCCUGGGAAGUACGGUCGCAAGGCUGAAACU
rnacentral:rRNA from 1 species